UGGGGGAUAUUGCACAAUGGGGGGAACCCUGAUGCAGCAACGCCGCGUGUGGGAAGAAGGUUUUCGGAUUGUAAACCACUGUUCUUGGUGAAGAAGGAAAUGACGGUAGCCAAGGAGGAAGCUCCGGCUAACUACGUGCCAGCAGCCGCGGUAAUACGUAGGGAGCGAGCGUUGUCCGGAUUUACUGGGUGUAAAGGGUGCGUAGGCGGCUGUGUAAGUCGGGCGUGAAAGGCACAGGCUCAACCUGUGGACUGCGCUCGAAACUGUGCAGCUUGAGUGAAGUAGAGGUAGGCGGAAUUCCCGGUGUAGCGGUGAAAUGCGUAGAGAUCGGGAGGAACACCAGUGGCGAAGGCGGCCUACUGGGCUUUAACUGACGCUGAGGCACGAAAGCGUGGGUAGC
rnacentral:rRNA from 1 species